CAAUAGCGUAUAUUAACGUUGUUGCAGUUAAAAAGCUCGUAGUUGGAUUUCUGGAGGGAGCGUCGGCCCGUAUUUACGAGUGCGUGACGUCUCUGUCCAUCCUUGCGGGAAGGCACGGCAUUGAUUUGUUGUGUCGGAUCGCAUCAUUUACUGUGAAAAAAUUAGAGUGUUCAAAGCAGGCUUUCGCUUGAAUACAUUAGCAUGGAAUAAUGAGAUAGGACUUUGGUGCUAUUUUGUUGGUUGAGCCUAAAGUAAUGAUUAAUAGGGAUAGUUGGGGGCACCUGUAUUGCGUUGUCAGAGGUGAAAUUCUUGGAUUUACGCAAGACAAACAGCUGCGAAAGCGUCUGCCAAGGAUGUUUUCAUUA
rnacentral:rRNA from 1 species